AAAAUCGGGCAAGAGAGAGUACGGUGUCUCUGAGUCCUUAUUGAACCGGCGAGAGAAAUCGAUCUUGCCGAGAUAUCGUUUCAGUCGUCCUUUGUUUUGGUUGGCGAUCUGAUUGUUGCUCGUCCACAU
rfam:Eutrema salsugineum unplaced genomic scaffold scaffold_5, whole genome shotgun sequence.